rnacentral:tRNA from 1 species
CCCCGUGUGGCUCAGUUGGUAGAGCGUGGUGUUUGCAACGCCAGGGUUGUGGGUUUGAUUCCCACGGGGG